rnacentral:lncRNA from 1 species
GUCACACAAACACAUAUGCAAGGCUAGUUCAAGUACAGUGCUCAAUUUACAACCAAUAAACACCUGGCGUCUAAAAAGAUUUAUUGCAAGCCUGCAAAUAUUACAAGUCUCAGUUCUAUCAAGCAUCGACAACGUGAUUGCUUACACACAUAUACAAUCCACUAACAAAUUUUACUUAGCAACGUGAUUGCUUACACACAUAUACAAUCCACUAACAAAUUUCUCACAGUGGUAACUAAAAUGAAAACUACAAUACUCAAUCAAAUUGGAAGAGAGCAAAGCCAAGAGCUCCAGAAAACUAGCCUUUGCAAACUAAACAUCCAUGACGCAGAAAAAAUUUAUUCUGC